rnacentral:tRNA from 1 species
GGGCGCGUGGCCUAGACCGGAUAUGGCGGCAGCCUCCUAAGCUGUAGGUCGGGGGUUCAAAUCCCUCCGCGCCCG